rnacentral:rRNA from 1 species
GCUGCUAUCGCUGACGACCGGCGCACGGGUGCGUAACGCGUAUGCAACCUACCUCUUACAGGGGGAUAGCCCAGAGAAAUUUGGAUUAAUACCCCGUAGUAUUAUUGAUUGGCAUCAAUUAGUAAUUAAAGUUUCGGCGGUAAGAGAUGGGCAUGCGUUUUAUUAGUUAGUUGGUAAGGUAACGGCUUACCAAGACUACGAUAAAUAGGGGUCCUGAGAGGGAGAUCCCCCACACUGGUACUGAGACACGGACCAGACUCCUACGGGAGGCAGCAGUGAGGAAUAUUGGACAAUGGGCGAGAGCCUGAUCCAGCCAUGCCGCGUGCAGGAAGACUGCCCUAUGGGUUGUAAACUGCUUUUAUACAGGAAGAAACCUUACUACGUGUAGUAAGCUGACGGUACUGUAAGAAUAGCACCGGCUAACUCCGUGCCAGCAGCCGCGGUAAUACGAGGUGCAAGCGUUAUCCGGAAUCAUUGGGUUUAAAGGGUCCCGUAGGCGGUUUAUUAAGUC